rfam:Trichobilharzia regenti genome assembly, scaffold: TRE_scaffold0010228
GUACUGCUGAAGAGUCCCAAACUAGGAUGAAAUAGCUGUCCAGCAC